rnacentral:rRNA from 1 species
UACGUAGGGUGCGAGCGUUGUCCGGAAUUAUUGGGCGUAAAGCGCACGUAGGCGGAUUGCUAAGUCAGGGGUGAAAUCCUGGAGCUCAACUCCAGAACUGCCUUUGAUACUGGCAACCUUGAGUCCGGGAGAGGUGAGUGGAACUGCGAGUGUAGAGGUGAAAUUCGUAGAUAUUCGCAAGAACACCAGUGGCGAAGGCGGCUCACUGGCCCGGUACUGACGCUGAGGUGCGAAAGCGUGGGGAGCAAACAGG